rnacentral:ncRNA from 1 species
UGACCUCAAAUCAGGUAGGACUACCCGCUGAACUUAAGCAUAUCAAUAAGCGGAGGAAAAGAAACUAACAAGGAUUCCCCUAGUAACUGCGAGUGAAGCGGGAAAAGCUCAAAUUUAAAAUCUGACAGUCUCUGGCUGUCCGAGUACUAGAGAAGUGAUGCCUAUGCUGGAAUAUGUACAAGUCUUCUGGAAUGGAGCGUCAUAGAGGGUGAGAAUUCUGUAUCUGACACAGACUACCAGGGCUUUGUGGUACACUCUCAAAAAGUUGAGUUGUUUGGGAAUACAGCUCAAAAUGGGUGGUAAAUUCCAUCUAAAGCUAAAUAUUGGUGAGAGACUGAUAGCAAACAAGUACCAUGAGGGAAAGAUGAAAAGAACUUUGGAAAGAGAGUUAAAUAGUAUGUGAAAUUGCUGAAAGGGAAACACUUGAAGUCAGUCACGUUGGCUGGGGAUCAGCCUCACUCUUUUACAUGGUGUACUUUCUGGUUGAUGGGUCAGCAUCAAUUUUGACUGCUGGAAAAAGACUUGAGGAAUGUGGCAGCUCCAGCUGUGUUAUAGCUUCAUGUCACAUACAGCGGUUGGGAUUGAGGAACUCAGCAUGCCGCAAGGCUGGGUUUUGACCAUGUUCAUGCUUAGGAUGCUGGCAUAAUGGCUUUAAGCAACCUGUCUUGAAACAUGGACCAAUGAGUCUAACAUGCUUGCAAGUGUUUGGGUGGAAAACCCAAGCACAUAAUAAAAGUGAAAGUUGAGAUUCCUAUUGUGGGGAGCAUUGACACCUGGACCAGAACUUUUGGGAUGGAUCUGCAGUAGAGCAUGUAUGUUGGGACCUGAAAGAUGGUGAACUAUGCCUGAAUAGGGUGAAGCCAGAGGAAACUCUGGUGGAGGCU